rnacentral:rRNA from 1 species
GAUGAACGCUGACAGAAUGCUUAACACAUGCAAGUCAACUUGAAUUUGGGUUUUUAACUUAGGUUUGGGUGGCGGACGGGUGAGUAACGCGUAAAGAACUUGCCUCACAGCUAGGGACCACAUUUGGAAACGAAUGCUAAUACCGAAUAUUAUGAUAAUAGGGCAUCCUAUAAUUAUGAAAGCUAUAAGCGCUGUGAGAGAGCUUUGCGUCCCAUUAGCUAGUUGGAGAGGUAACGGCUCACCAAGGCGAUGAUGGGUAGCCGGCCUGAGAGGGUGAUCGGCCACAAGGGGACUGAGACACGGCCCUUACUCCUACGGGAGGCAGCAGUGGGGAAUAUUGGACAAUGGACCGAGAGUCUGAUCCAGCCAUUCUGUGUGCACGAUGAAGUUUUUCGGAAUGUAAAGUGCUUUCAGUUGGGAAGAAACAAAUGACGGUACCAACAGAAGAAGUGACGGCUAAAUACGUG